AUACGGAGGGUGCAAGCGUUAUCCGGAAUCAUUGGGUUUAAAGGGUCCGUAGGCGGGCAAUUAAGUCAGGGGUGAAAUCCCACAGCUCAACUGUGGAACUGCCUUUGAUACUGGUUGUCUUGAGUUAUACUGAAGUAGAUAGAAUAUGUAGUGUAGCGGUGAAAUGCAUAGAUAUUACAUAGAAUACCGAUUGCGAAGGCAGUCUACUAAGUAUAUACUGACGCUAAUGGACGAAAGCGUGGGGAGCGAACAGGAUUAGAAACCCUAGUAGUCC
rnacentral:rRNA from 1 species